rnacentral:misc_RNA from 1 species
CCAUCCUUAAGGGCAACUUUGAGUAGCAAGGAGUCACUAUCAGGCAUUCCAUUCUCAUUAAUAGAAAUAAUUGGAUCGUUGUAAUUUUCCUUUAUAUAGACUAGAAGCUCUUGCAAUCCCUUGGGAUAAAUGUAAAGCCAGUCCAAAGCAGUCGGUGUGCCAAUGGGCUUGCCAUGCUUUUCAGAAGUCAUUUUGAGGUGCCUGUCAUCAACAUAACUAAGAUUGACUCUGUUAGUCAAAUGAGCACUUUCUGCAUAAAAUGUGGUGUAGUAAUUUAGGCCAAGAAAAUCAUAAGACCCUUUUAGCAUAUUGGAUUGCUCUUUGGUGAAUUUGGGCAGUCUAUUUCCAGCAAAUUCCUUCAUGCUCUGGGGAUAGUCACCAAAUGUAAUUGGAUCUGCAACCCAUCCAAAGAAGAAAUCUAAACCCCUAUAAGCAGCCCUUUUGCUGGAAGUUGUAUUGUAUUUGGGUGUAAACCAGUGGGUUACGGUUGUAAUCCCAAUUUGUCCCUUUUGAACAGCCUUGUAUCUCUCCCUGUACAAUUUCACUGCAGCUGCAUGACAAAGAAGUUGGUGGUGGACGGCAAUGUAAGGUUCAGUGGCAGAGUUUCCUGCAGUGCAAUUUCCAGCAUAUUUGGAGCAUCGACCAGGUGCAAAGGUACCACUGUUGUAUGCAUUAGUGGCAAAUAUAUUUGGUUGAUUAAAAGUCACCCAGAAUUUUACUCGAUCACCAAAUGUUUUGAAGCAGAAGUCCGCAUAAUCUAGAUAGUCAUACAAAAUCUUGGGGCUUAGAAAUCCUUCAUAGUCAUCUUCAAGAGCUUGUGGGGUAUCGAAAUGGAAUAAAGUUACAAAGGGCUUUAUACCAUUGGCUAGAAGCAAGUUGAUGAGGUCAUUGUAGAAUUUAACACCAAGUGGGUUCACUCCCCCACUAAUUUUCCCUUUUGGUAAUACUCUGCUCCAAGAGAUGGAAAAUCUGAAGGAGUCCAAACCAAUCUUUUUCAUCAAUUUUAUGUCUUCCUUGUAAUGGUGAUAAAAAUCAUCAGCUACGUCUCCAGUGCUCCGAUCCACAAUUUUUUCUGGAUGUUCCUUAACAAAAAUAUCCCAUAUACUUGGCCCCUUGCCAUCUAUAAGUGCUGCUCCUUCUGUCUGCAAAAAAGAAAACUUAUUNNNNNNNNNNNUCAGGAAAACUGCUUCGAUUAAAAGGCAUCAAACGGUUAGGUUUUGCACCAUAGCUGCAAGUUACCAAGCUGCAGGACGUACCUAGG